GAUGAACGCUAGCUACAGGCUUAACACAUGCAAGUCGAGGGGAAACGAUAUUGGAAGCUUGCUUCCGAUAGGCGUCGACCGGUGCACGGGUGAGUAACGCGUAUCCAACCUGCCCACCACUUGGGGAUAACCUUGCGAAAGUAAGACUAAUACCCAAUGAUAUCUCUAGAAGACAUCUGAAAGAGAUUAAAGAUUUAUCGGUGAUGGAUGGGGAUGCGUCUGAUUAGCUUGUUGGCGGGGUAACGGCCCACCAAGGCGACGAUCAGUAGGGGUUCUGAGAGGAAGGUCCCCCACAUUGGAACUGAGACACGGUCCAAACUCCUACGGGAGGCAGCAGUGAGGAAUAUUGGUCAAUGGGCGAGAGCCUGAACCAGCCAAGUAGCGUGCAGGAUGACGGCCCUAUGGGUUGUAAACUGCUUUUAUAAGGGAAUAAAGUGAGAGUCGUGACUCUUUUUGCAUGUACCUUAUGAAUAAGGACCGGCUAAUUCCGUGCCAGCAGCAGCCGCCGUAA
rnacentral:rRNA from 1 species